rnacentral:rRNA from 1 species
AUUGAACGCUGGCGGCAGGCCUAACACAUGCAAGUCGAGCGAGCGGCGGACGGGUGAGUAAUGUCUGGGAAACUGCCUGAUGGAGGGGGAUAAAUACUGGAAACGGUAGCUAAUACCGCAUACCAUCAGAUGUGCCCAGAUGGGAUUAGCUAGUAGGUGGGGUAACGGCUCACCUGGGCGACGAUCCCUAGCUGGUCUGAGAGGAUGACCAGCCACACGGGAACGGAGACACGUCCCAGACUCCUCGGGGAGGCAGCAGUGGGGAAUAUUGGACAAUGGCCGCAAGCCUGAUGCAUCCAGGCCGGGUGUAUGAAGAAGGCCUUCGGGUUUUAAAGUACUUUCAGCGGGGAGGCGUUACCCGCAGAAGAAGCACCGGCUAACUCCGUGCCAGCAGCCGCGGUAAUAC